rnacentral:tRNA from 1 species
GCCAGUGUGGCUCAGUUGUUAGAGCAUUUGGCCCCACGCGCAAAAGGGUUUUGGGUUUGAUUCCCAGUCAAGGGCA